rnacentral:ncRNA from 1 species
AAAAAAAAAAAAAAAAAAAUCUAUACAAAAAAAUUAAAAUAUAGAUAAAUUUUAUAUAGUUUAAAAAAAUUUAUUUUAAAUUUAUUUUACAUAUAAAUUUUAGUAUUAAUAAAUUUUUAUUUUAAAAAUAAUAUUUAUUUUAAGUAGUAAUUAAUAUUAAAAAUUUAAGAAAUUAAGAUUUAGUAAUAUAGAAAUUAUUAACAAAUUUUGUGCCAGCAGUUGCGGUUAUACAAAAAUUAAGUUAAAUUUUAUUAGUUAUUUAAUAAUUAAAUUUAUUUAUUUAAUUUAAAAUUAAGAUUAUUAGGUGAAAUUUUAAUUUUAUGUUAAUUUAUUUAAUAUUUUUUAUGAUUUAAUAAAUUUUAAUAUUAAACUAGGAUUAGAUACCCUAUUAUUUAAAAUUUAAAUUUAAAAAUACUAAAAUAGUAUAUAAUUAUUUAUUGAAACUUAAAUGUUUUGGCGGUAUUUUAGUUUAUUUAGAGGAAUCUGUUUAUUAAUUGAUAAUCCACGAAUAAAUUUACUUAAUUUAUUAUUUUGUAUAUCGUUGUUAAAAAAAUAUUUUUUAAUAAUUAAUAAUAUUUUAAAAUUAAUAAUUAAAAAUUAAAUCAAAUCAAGAUGCAGAUUAUAAUUAAGAAUAUAAUGGAUUACAAUAAAUUUAUUUAAAUGGAUUUUAUUUUGUAAUAUUUAAAUAAAGGUGGAUUUAAAUGUAAUUUUAUUUAAUUUAUUAAAAUGAUUAAAAAUUAAAAUAUGUACAUAUUGCCCGUCGCUUUCAUAGAUAAAUUGAAAUAAGUCGUAACAAAGUAGAGGUACUGGAAAGUGUUUCUAGAAAGAU